rnacentral:rRNA from 1 species
GACGAACGCUGGCGGCGUGCUUAACACAUGCAAGUCGAACGGAAAGGCCCUGCUUGCAGGGUGCUCGAGUGGCGAACGGGUGAGUAACACGUGGGUGAUCUGCCCCUUACUUUGGGAUAAGCCUGGGAAACUGGGUCUAAUACUGGAUAGGACCAUGCUGUAGGUGGUGUGGUGGAAAGAUUAGUUUCGGUAAGGGAUGAGCUCGCGGCCUAUCAGCUUGUUGGUGGGGUAAUGGCCUACCAAGGCGUCGACGGGUAGCCGGCCUGAGGGUGGACGGCCACAUUGGGACUGAGAUACGGCCCAGACUCCUACGGGAGGCAGCAGUGGGGAAUAUUGCACAAUGGGCGCAAGCCUGAUGCAGCGACGCCGCGUGGGGGAUGACGGCCUUCGGGUUGUAAACUCCUUUCAGCCAUGACGAAGCCCUUGUGGUGACGGUAGUGGUAGAAGAAGCACCGGCUAACUACGUG